ACUGCUCAGUAACACGUGGAUAACCUGCCCUUAGGACUGGCAUAACCCCGGGAAACUGGGGAUAAUUCCGGAUAGUUCAUGGUAGCUGGAAUGCUCCAUGAUCGAAAGCUAUUGCGCCUAAGGAUGGGUCUGCGGUCUAUCAGGUAGUAGUGGGUGUAAUGUACCUACUAGCCGACGACGGAUACGGGUUGUGGGAGCAAGAGCCCGGAGAUGGAUUCUGAGACAUGAAUCCAGGCCCUACGGGGCGCAGCAGGCGCGAAAACUUUACAAUGCGGGAAACCGCGAUAAGGGGACACCGAGUGCCAGCAUCUUAUGUUGGCUGUCCGCAUGUAUAAAUCACAUGUGUUAGCAAGGGCCGGGCAAGACCGGUGCCAGCCGCCGCGGUAACACCGGCGGCCCGAGUGGUGGCCACUAUUAUUGGGUCUAAAGGGUCCGUAGCCGGUUUGGUCAGUCUUCCGGGAAAUCUGACGGCUUAACCGUUAGGCUUUCGGGGGAUACUACCAGGCUUGGGACCGGGAGAGGUAAGAGGUACUACGGGGGUAGGAGUGAAAUCUUGUAAUCCUCGUGGGACCACCAGUGGCGAAGGCGUCUUACCAGAACGGGUUCGACGGUGAGGGACGAAAGCUGGGGGCACGAACCGGAUUAGAUACCCGGGUAGUCCCAGCUGUAAACUAUGCUCGCUAGGUGUCAGGGACGGUGCGACCGUUUCUGGUGCCGCAGGGAAGCCGUGAAGCGAGCCACCUGGGAAGUACGGUCGCAAGGCUGAAACUUAAAGGAAUUGGCGGGGGAGCAC
rnacentral:rRNA from 1 species